CACGUAGGGGACGAGCGUUGUCCGGAUUCAUUGGGCGUAAAGCGCGCGUAGGCGGCUCGGAAAGUCGGUCGUGAAAUGCCGGGGCUCAACCCCGGGACUGCGUCCGAUACUCCCGAGCUGGAGGCAGGUAGGGGAGAUCGGAAUUCCUGGUGUAGCGGUGAAAUGCGCAGGAUAUCAGGAGGAACACCGGUGGCGAAGGCGG
rnacentral:rRNA from 1 species